rnacentral:rRNA from 1 species
ACAAGCGGUGGAGCAUGUGGUUUAAUUUGAAGCAACGCGAAGAACCUUACCUAGUUUUGACAUCCUUAGAAAACCCCAGAGAUAGGGUUUUUCCUUCGGGAACUAGAAGACCCAGUGGGUCAUUGUUUCGUCAGGUCGUGUUGUGAGAAGGUUGGGUUAAUUCCGCCACGAGGGCCAACCUUGAUUUUAAUUGCCCUUAAUUAAUUGGGGAAUUCAAAGGAGACUCCCAGUGAAAAACUGGAGGAAGGGGGGGAGGACGUCAAUUCAUCAUGCCCCUAUGGCCUAGGGCUACACACGUGUUACAAUGGCGGAUACAAAGAGAAGCAACCCCGGAGGGGCAAGCGAUCUUCAUAAACCAUUUUCUAGUCCGGAUUGGAGUUUGCAAUUGGCCUCCAUGAAGUGGGAAUCGUAGUAAUUGCGGGAUAAGAAUGCCGCGGUGAAUAGUUUCCCGGCCUUGGUACACACCCCCGUUACACCACAUGGGAGUGGGACCAAAAGAAG